rnacentral:rRNA from 1 species
GGGUUGUGAGGUUAAGCGACCAAGCGUACACGGUGGAUGCCUGGCAGUCAGAGGCGAUGAAGGGCGUGCUAAUCUGCGAUAAGCGCCGGUAAGGUGAUAUGAACCGUUAUAACCGGCGAUACCCGAAUGGGGAAACCCAGUGUGAUUCGUCACACUAUCAUUAACUGAAUCCAUAGGUUAAUGAGGCGAACCGGGGAACUGAAACAUCUGGCACCCCGAGGAAAAAGAAAUCAACCGAGAUUCCCCAGUAGCGGCGAGCGAACGGGGAGGAGCCCAGAGCCUGAAUCAGCAUGUGUGUUAGUGGAAGCGUCUGGAAAGGCGCGCGAUACAGGGUGACAGCCCCGUACACAAAAGCGCAUGUGCUGUGAGCUCGAUGAGUAGGGCGGGACACGUGGUAUCCUGUCUGAAUAUGGGGGGACCAUCCUCCAAGGCUAAAUACUCCUGACUGACCGAUAGUGAACCAGUACCGUGAGGGAAAGGCGAAAAGAACCCCGGCGAGGGGAGUGAAAAAGAACCUGAAACCGUGUACGUACAAGCAGUGGGAGCACCCUUCGGGGUGUGACUGCGUACCUUUUGUAUAAUGGGUCAGCGACUUAUAUUCUGUAGCAAGGUUAACCGUAUAGGGGAGCCGGAGGGAAACCGAGUCUUAAUUGGGCGUUAAGUUGCAGGGUAUAGACCCGAAACCCGGUGAUCUAGCCAUGGGCAGGUUGAAGGUUGGGUAACACUAACUGGAGGACCGAACCGACUAAUGUUGAAAAAUUAGCGGAUGACCUGUGGCUGGGGGUGAAAGGCCAAUCAAACCGGGAGAUAGCUGGUUCUCCCCGAAAGCUAUUUAGGUAGCGCCUCGUGAAUUCAUCUCCGGGGGUAGAGCACUGUUUCGGCUAGGGGGCCAUCCCGGCUUACCAACCCGAUGCAAACUGCGAAUACCGGAGAAUGUUAUCACGGGAGACACACGGCGGGUGCUAACGUCCGUCGUGAAGAGGGAAACAACCCAGACCGCCAGCUAAGGUCCCAAAGUCAUGGUUAAGUGGGAAACGAUGUGGGAAGGCCCAGACAGCCGAUGUUGGCUUGUAGAAGCAGCCAUCAUUUAAAGAAAGCGUAAUAGCUCACUGGUCGAGUCGGCCUGCGCGGAAGAUGUAACGGGGCUAAACCAUGCACCGAAGUUGGGCAGCGAACGUAUCACCCAAGACAACUUUACGGAGUUGACGAUUGACGGAGCGAAGCGACGUCAAAGCGUUCAUUAAAGUCGAGUUGGCUUAGGGAUACGUUCGUUGGGUAGGGGAGCGUUCUGUAAGCCUGUGAAGGUGUGUCGUGAGGCAUGCUGGAGGUAUCAGAAGUGCGAAUGCUGACAUAAGUAACGAUAAAGCGGGUGAAAAGCCCGCUCGCCGGAAGACCAAGGGUUCCUGUCCAACGUUAAUCGGGGCAGGGUGAGUCGACCCCUAAGGCGAGGCCGAAAGGCGUAGUCGAUGGGAAACGGGUUAAUAUUCCCGUACUUGGUGUUACUGCGAAGGGGGGACGGAGAAGGCUAUGUUGGCCGGGCGACGGUUGUCCCGGUUUAAGCGUGUAGGUGUGUGUUCCGUAAAAAUCCGGUUCACUUUAACACUGAGGCGUGACGACGAGGCACUACGGUGCUGAAGCAACAAAUGCCGGCACUGUGCAAACACGAAAGUGGACGUAUACGGUGUGACGCCUGCCCGGUGCCGGAAGGUUAAUUGAUGGGGUCAGCGUAAGCGAAGCUCCUGAUCGAAGCCCCGGUAAACGGCGGCCGUAACUAUAACGGUCCUAAGGUAGCGAAAUUCCUUGUCGGGUAAGUUCCGACCUGCACGAAUGGCGUAAUGAUGGCCAGGCUGUCUCCACCCGAGACUCAGUGAAAUUGAACUCGCUGUGAAGAUGCAGUGUACCCGCGGCAAGACGGAAAGACCCCGUGAACCUUUACUAUAGCUUGACACUGAACAUUGAGCCUUGAUGUGUGGGGAUAGGUGGGAGGCUUUGAAGUGUGGACGCCAGUCUGCAUGGAGCCGACCUUGAAAUACCACCCUUUAAUGUUUGAUGUUCUAACGUGGACCCGUAAUCCGGGUUGCGGACAGUGUCUCUGGUGGGUAGUUUGACUGGGGCGGUCUCCUCCCAAAGAGUAACGGAGGAGCACGAAGGUUGGCUAAUCCCCGUCGGACAUCAGGAGGUUAGUGCAAUGGCAUAAGCCAGCUUGACUGCGAGCGUGACGGCGCGAGCAGGUGCGAAAGCAGGUCAUAGUGAUCCGGUGGUUCUGAAUGGAAGGGCCAUCGCUCAACGGAUAAAAGGUACUCCGGGGAUAACAGGCUGAUACCGCCCAAGAGUUCAUAUCGACGGCGGUGUUUGGCACCUCGAUGUCGGCUCAUCACAUCCUGGGGCUGAAGUAGGUCCCAAGGGUAUGGCUGUUCGCCAUUUAAAGUGGUACGCGAGCUGGGUUUAGAACGUCGUGAGACAGUUCGGUCCCUAUCUGCCGUGGGCGCUGGAGAACUGAGGGGGGCUGCUCCUAGUACGAGAGGACCGGAGUGGACGCAUCACUGGUGUUCGGGUUGUCAUGCCAAUGGCACUGCCCGGUAGCUAAAUGCGGAAGAGAUAAGUGCUGAAAGCAUCUAAGCACGAAACUUGCCCCGAGAUGAGUUCUCCCUGAGACUUAGAGUCUCCUGAAGGAACGUUGAAGACGACGACGUUGAUAGGCCGGGUGUGUAAGCGCAGCGAUGCGUUGAGCUAACCGGUACUAAUGAACCGUGAGGCUUAACCUUACAACGCCGAAG